GAUGAACGCUGGCGGCGUGCCUAAUACAUGCAAGUCGAGCGAACGGACGAGACUCUUGCCUCUCUGAUGUUAGCGGCGGGCGAGUGAGUAACACGUGUAUAACCUACCUAUAAGGCUGGGAUAACUUCGGGAAACCGUAUCUAAUACCGGAUAAUAUUUUGAACCGCAUGGUUCAAAAGUGAAAGACGGUCUUGCUGUCACUUAUAGAUGGUUCCGCGCUGCAUUAGCUAGUUGGUAAGGUAACGGCUUACCAAGGCAACGAUGCAUAGCCGACCUGAGAGGGUGAUCGGCCACACUGGAACUGAGACACGGUCCAGACUCCUACGGGAGGCAGCAGUAGGGAAUCUUCCGCAAUGGGCGAAAGCCUGACGCAGCAACGCCGCGUGAGUGAUGAAGGUCUUCGGAUCGUAAAACUCUGUUAGUAGGGAAGAACAGAUGUGUAAGUAAAUGUGCACAUCUUGACGGUACCUAAUGAGAAAGCAACGGCUAACUACGUG
rnacentral:rRNA from 1 species